rnacentral:rRNA from 1 species
GACGAACGCUGGCGGCGUGCUUAACACAUGCAAGUCGAACGGACAGGCCCUGCUCUUGUGGGGUGCUCGUGAGGCGAACGGGUGAGUAACACGCGAGUAUCCUGCCCUUGACUUUGGGAUAACUUCAGGAAACUGGGGCUAAUACCGGAUAGGAGCUCCUGCUGCAUGGUGUGGGUUGGAAAGUUUCGGCGGUUGGGGAUGGACUCGCGGCUUAUCAGCUUGUUGGUGUGGUAGUGGCUUACCAAGGCUUUGACGGGUAGCCGGCCUGAGAGGGUGACCGGCCACAUUGGGACUGAGAUACGGCGCAGACUCCUAUGGGAGGCAGCAGUGGGGAAUAUUGCAGAAUGGGCGGAAGCCUGAUGCAGCAACGCCGGGAGCGUGAUAACGGCCUUCGGGUGGUAAACCGAUCUCGCCGGUGAUGAAGCGUGAGUGACGGUAAUGGGUAAAGAAGCACCGGCUAACUACGUG